UGACCACCCAGCUUUUGGGUCAAGGCCAUACGGACAGCCGGGUCAACUGCCGA
rnacentral:sRNA from 1 species